rnacentral:misc_RNA from 1 species
UUUGGGAGCAACUCUACUCCUGCGAAGGGUCUGCGUGUUGUCCGUCUCGCCAAUCGUGCACCUUUCCCGAGGUGACACAGAGCGCUGAAGCACGGCCUCGGCCGAUGUUACUGCUGCUAGCCCUGGUUCUUGACGAACUCCAGUGUGCAACACACAUACACUCAGGCUGCGCUCGCACACGCCACAACCAGCGUAGCUUUUCGUUUCGUCAUAGUCUUGGAAGAGCACGUGCGGCGCCUCAUGUCCAACCAAGCAGCUCACGCAACCGAGGGGCCAGCGGCGCUAGCACGAUCCGGUCCAGCAUCCGCCUCUCCGUACCCGCCACCACCCUUCUCUACAAUGCAGCACACAUCGGCAAGCCCCGCGACUACGCCCCAAGCGUCGCCGAGCCCUGCGCACUCCUCGGCCGCGAUAGAGGAGCUUCUGCGUGAGAACACAGCUCUCAAGGCACGCCUCCAGCUGUCGGAUGAGCAGCGCGUAACGCAGGAAGUCCUGCGGGAGCAGCUCCACCGCUUCUUCGAGUGUGUCGCGGCGCACGAGCAGGCUAGUCAGAGGGUGCUAACAGACCAGCGGCAGGAUGACGGGGAGAAGAGCAACGCGCCAGAUGACGGCGCCGGGGUAGCCCGCCCUUCUUUUAUGAGCGCCGCCGUAUCAGAAGUCCUGCGCCGCAUGCAGGAGGAGAAGCAGCAGGCCGAGGCGGCCCUCGCGCAGCUGCAGAGCGACACGGUAGCUCCCCUGCAUGCGCAGCUGGAGGCAAUGGAGAAGGAGAAGCAGCAGCUCGUGGCGCGGGUAGCGGAGCUGGAGAUGUCCAUGUCGAGCACGCCCGCCCCGCCGCUGAUGGCUGAGCUGAGGCAGCUGAGGGAAACCGAAGCACUGCUACGACAGCAGCUGCAGGAGUGCCAAGCGUCCACCGCCGCCACCGUCGGCACAUUUCGGUCCACCGUAGAGAAUGGUCUUCUCGCUGCUCGGCAGGUUCCGGAGCUAAUCCACGCGAUGGAGACCAUCAAGGAGAAUGUCCGCACCAACCAGACAAUGCAGGCGGCCCAACGCGUGCUUCUUGAGGAGAUGGAGCGCCGACAUGCCAUCGAGCGCGAAAUCGAAGAGACGUACCGAAGGGAGGAGGCGAAAGUGCUGAGAGAGCGCAUCGCCAGCCUCAAGGAUGAAGUGAGUGCUGCCGCGGAACGCGAGGCAGCUUUCGCGUCGGAGCGGGGGGCCAUGGAGGCACAGCUGGCCGCCGCGCAGGACUCGAUUCGCCAGCUCACGCAGCAGCACAGCGAGGAGCAGGUGGCCUUAGCUCAGAAGCGCCAGCGGGCCGAGCAGGACGCGAGCAGCAACCCGACGUCGAUUCGUGGCGAGCUGACCAAGUUCUGGUACGAAGGCCGUGACCGCAUCCGCGAGCUGGAACGGCAGUUGCAGACGAUGCACACGGCAGAGGCCAACCUGCGCGUCUCGCAGGGCCGUGUCGCACAGCUCGAGCAGCGCAAGGCAGCCUUGCUCGGCAAUCUUGCCGCUCUCGCCGCGGAGGUAGAUCGCCGGCGCGAAGAGGAGAAGAAGCUGCGUGCUCAGUGUGCCGGCGUCGAGGCGGAGCGGGAUCGGCUGCUGAUGAGCGUCGCGAAGACCACCGGCUCACAUAUCUCGGAGACGGAGCUGCGAGACUGCUGCAGAACUAUCCGGGAGGCUGCGACACGGGUGGCGGCUGCGAGCGCCACUGUCGUAGCCGAUCCACAAGCCAUCGAGGAGGCGCUGCGCCGUGCACAGAAGCUGAAGAGCGAGGUGGCACAGCUUCAGCGGCAGAAGGACCAGCUUCAGCGCUUCCUCGAGCUUCAUGAGGAUCGUGUGCGGGCACUGCUGGAGCAGGAGGCGCUCCUGCUAGUGCGAGACUCGAAGGGCGGGCCUGCGACGGCCACCUCUCCGCAGAUGGGCAGCAACACAGCGAUCAAGGGAGCACUGGAGUCGGCGAGUACGACUGCCUUUUCGCUGCCACAGUUUCUCGAGCACAUCCGGCAAGGCGCCAACGAUGUCUUUCUCCAGAACGAGGAUGCCGCCGUGCGUGCCGUGAGGCCCGGUGGAAAGCGGGGCUCCAACAGACACGCCAACGCCAGCGGCGAAGUCAGCCAUGACAGCUCCGUGACACCGCACCGCGACUCCUUCUUGUCGCUGCACCAGCAGUUUGUCCAGAGUCAAGAGAGGCUGCUCGCCUCGCACCGUGACCUGCUUGAGGCGCGUAAUGAGAACCGACGUAUACAGGCUGAGCUGGACAGCACACGCAGCGAGCACGCGGCAGCUGCGGCGACAGAGGAGAAGGCGCGCCGCUCCUUGGAGGCGGCCAACGCGGCGCUCACGCACCGCACGACGAGCCUCACAAACGAACUGCAGGAGCUACAGCGUCACUACACCUCCGCAGUGACGAUGGUGCGCACUACGUUGGAGGGUCUGUCCAACGUGCUGCAGCUCUACCACCAGUCGGAGCUGCACGCGGAGAAGCUGCGCGAGAUGGUGCAGCAGGAGCGGCGGGACAUGAGUGACAUGCUACGGCGCGAGGCGGCGUCUUGGAGCGUCGGCACGGGCACUGACGGUCACACGAACGCACAAGAGGCUCAGCACUCGGCUGCGGCCGAGAGAAUCACGGCGGCGCUGCGGGACAUGGGGGCGUACAUCGCCGAGGCGGUGGCCGAGACCACCCGGCAGGCGACUCAGGACCAGACCAGCUACAUUGGGAAGCUCGUCAAGGCUAUUCAGCAGCAGGAGGAACAGGUGCAGGCAGCCAAGGCAGCCUUCGAGGCCUCGGCGCAGGCGCAGGCGCGCAGCCUGGCCGAUCGUAUCAGCGCCGCACAGCAGCAAUGGGAGUCGGAGUGGAAGGCCAAGUAUCAAGCCAUGGAGGCGGAGCGGAUGCAGAGCGUCAUGCAGCAGCACGCGAGCGUUGUUCUGCAGCGCGCACUGGAGCAGGCUGUGACGACGCCAGCAGCAGCAUCGUCUGCUGCGUCGCCGAACAGCACGGCGUCGGUGCCUCCGGAGGUGGAGGAGUCAGCGGUGCAUAUGGCCGACACCCUGCAGGUGAUUCGAAACUUUUUGGCGCAUGCCCGCCAGCGUCAAGCGCAGCAGCAGGAGCAGCUGCAGAAGCUGGAGCAACUAAAGCUUCUUCAGCAGCAGCAGCUACAGCAACAACAGAAGCAGACCGUCUCGGCACCAAUCUCACCUGCAACCGUGCAGACGGCGGCAGCCGCUACGUCGGUCGCCCCGGCCGGCGCACCGGCACCACCCGCCUCAACGGCUACCUCCCUUGCCACGGACGCUCAGCCACCUCAGUCGUUGACUCCUCCAUCGAUCAUCGCAACCGCCAAGAUAUCCAACGCGGGUGCCGAGCUAAGGACGGUUUCUUCGUCCACGGUGAAGGAGAACGACGGGGCGGAGACAAGCACCUCUUCCCCUCAGCUGCUCAGCGCCCCUGCAGUUUCAGCGCCAGCGACCGACUCUGACGCGCUCGCUGCCGAGCAUGCGACUCGCGAGGCGCCAGCGGAGAACGAAGAGGCUGAGGCAUCCACACAAGAAGCGGAGAUUUCCGGCGACUCAGGCCCCUCUGCGCCAUGGGACGAAGAGCAUCCAACCUCGCAUCCUGCUACUCCAGAUGCGCAGCUUGACGAGACGGAUGUGCAGGCAGAGCCGCAAGAAUCGAUGGAGGAUGCGACUGCAGGUGCCUCACAGCGGGGCGCCGAGGAGGAGAACGAAGAGGCGCUGCCCAGCCCGCCCUCCUCCGGCAGCGAGGAAGGCGAUGAGCAGGAAGAGAAGAAUUCGGAAGAGGAUGCCUGAUGCAGAUGAGGUUGCUGCGGCGCUUUAUGAUGCUGCAUGUCCCCUCCCUCUCUCUUUCCCUCUCUUUUUGCGUGUGUGCGCGCCGGUGCCGCAGCCGUGAUGAUGCUAAUAAAGGAAACAACAGGAGGCCAGAAAACGAGUAGCGUUGCCGCCUGCGUGUCUGCAUUGUGUGCUGCACCUGCGCUGCCCUCCCCCCGUCCCCUCCUCUCUCGCAGUUUCGGCCUUUGUUGGCCUUCCUUUGUGGGUGGGCCCGUAUAGACCAGGGGGCGCGGCUAACGCACAGCCACUCGCGUGCGAUAAAGAUGUCGAUGGAUACGGCAGGUAAAAGGGUAAGUCGGGCCCGGGUGUUCAGUGGAGCGCAACCAUUUUGCCGCCCUAUAUGCAGGCCGGCUGCUGCUGUGCCUCCUCGUUGCCUCGCUCUCUCG